AAAAGUAUAUCCUGUAUUUCCAAAAAGUUGUCUGUGAAUAACUCUUGAUAUUUUACCUUAUAUUUCUGUCUUUCUCCUAAAAGUUGUAUGCAAAAAUCAAAAAAAGGAACUGAGUUUAUGAUUGGACUCUAAAUAAAAGUAAAUUCAUUGUAUUUUUAUUAAGGUUUUAUUUCUUAGCUUAGUGGCAGCUUCAGAAGAAUUGUAUAGGGAAGCAGUCACUACUUCCACUUCAG